AUUGAACGCUGGCGGCAUGCUUUACACAUGCAAGUCGAACGCGGUUGGGGGGCAACUCCUGACUGAGUGGCGAACGGGUGAGUAAUACAUCGGAACGUACCUCGUUGUGGGGGAUAACCCACCGAAAGGUGGGCUAAUACCGCAUACGCCCUGAGGGGGAAAAGCGGGGGGGACCCUGAGAGGGCCUCGCGCGAUGGGAGCGGCCGAUGUCGGAUUAGCUAGUAGGUUGGGUAAAGGCUGACCUAGGCGACGAUCCGUAGCUGGUCUGAGAGGAUGAUCAGCCACACUGGGACUGAGACACGGCCCAGACUCCUACGGGAGGCAGCAGUGGGGAAUUUUGGACAAUGGGCGCAAGCCUGAUCCAGCCAUGCCGCGUGAGUGAAGAAGGCCUUCGGGUUG
rnacentral:rRNA from 1 species